GUCUACACAUUUAAUGUGUAGUCUGUGUGAGUAACGAUGUUAUAUUGAGAAUGUGUGUGGUAUAGCAGUCUAACUAGAAAACGUACAACCCAUCCUAAGACGAGGAUGUGCCUGUCAACAAAUGUCCUUCUGGUGCCACUCAUUAUCAACAUUCUCAUUACUUAUGCUAAUUCUAUUAAUUGCGAUCAGCCCAAUGAAACAGUGAUUGUAAACCCAAAUUUCCCGUGUCCAGAAAACUUUGAGUGUGGUCAGCUGAUGAACGCUAAGCCUGGAUGUGUGAAGCCGCCUAUCCUUGUGCAACAGUGUCACUGUGGGAAGGGGGUACCUUGUGGCACCAAGAACACCCAUAGAUUUAGGACCACCAGUUCUUCCUACCGAGCGUACUGUAGGCCCAUCUGUGGCCUCCCUAGGUGUAGACCUCAAGACACAGCCGUGCUUCUGAUUAAAGACGUUCACAGUUUGGGCAGGGUGAAUAACUUCAGGAAG